GAUGAACGCUGGCGGCGUGCCUAAUACAUGCAAGUCGAGCGAACAGAUAAGGAGCUUGCUCCUUUGACGUUAGCGGCGGACGGGUGAGUAACACGUGGGUAACCUACCUAUAAGACUGGAAUAACUCCGGGAAACCGGGGCUAAUGCCGGGUAACAUGUUGAACCGCAUGGUUCUACAGUGAAAGGCGGCUUUGCUGUCACUUAUAGAUGGACCCGCGCCGUAUUAGCUAGUUGGUGAGGUAACGGCUCACCAAGGCAACGAUACGUAGCCGACCUGAGAGGGUGAUCGGCCACACUGGAACUGAGACACGGUCCAGACUCCUACGGGAGGCAGCAGUAGGGAAUCUUCCGCAAUGGGCGAAAGCCUGACGGAGCAACGCCGCGUGAGUGAUGAAGGUCUUCGGAUCGUAAAACUCUGUUAUUAGGGAAGAACAAAUGCGUAAGUAACUGUGCGCGUCUUGACGGUACCUAAUCAGAAAGCCACGGCUAACUACGUG
rnacentral:rRNA from 1 species